rnacentral:rRNA from 1 species
UGGUAGCAAUACCGAGCGAAGCUAGUGGCGAACGGGUGCGUAACACAUGAGUCAUCUGCCCAGAAGUGGGGAAUAGCUCGGCGAAAGCCGGAUUAAUACCGCAUGUGAUCGUAAGACCAAAGCCGGGGCAACCUGGCGCUUUUGGAGGAGCUCGUGGCCUAUCAGCUAGUUGGUGAGGUAACGGCUUACCAAGGCAACGACGGGUAGCUGGUCUGAGAGGACGACCAGCCACACUGGAACUGAGAUACGGUCCAGACACCUACGGGUGGCAGCAGUCGAGAAUUUUUCUCAAUGGGGGAAACCCUGAAGGAGCGACGCCGCGUGGAGGAUGAAUGCUUUCGGGUUGUAAACUCCUGUCAUUUGGGAACAAGGCCUUACGUUAACUGCGUGGAGGAUUGAUAGUACCAGAAGAGGAAGAGACGGCUAACUCUGUGCCAGCAGCCGCGGUAAUACAGAGGUCUCGGGCGUUGUUCGGAUUCAUUGGGCGUAAAGGGCGCGUAGGCGGCGGGGUAAGUCUGGUGUGAAAUCUAGGAGCUCAACUCCUAAACUGCACUGGAUACUGCUCUGCUAGAGGACUGGAGAGGAGACUGGAAUUCUCGGUGUAGCA